AGGGCAUAAUGAUGAAGAAAGUAUAUUUUGGUCUGAAGUUUAGUGAUUGAAUCAAUUUACCUCCUACUCAUUCUGA